GCAUAUCAUAAGCGGAGGGAAAAGAAACCAACAGGGAUUGCCCCAGUAACGGCGAGUGAAGCGGCAACAGCUCAAAUUUGAAAUCUGGCUCCUAGAGCCCGAGUUGUAAUUUGUAGAGGAUGCUUUUGAUGCGGUGCCUUCCGAGUUCCCUGGAACGGGACGCCAUAGAGGGUGAGAGCCCCGUCUGGUCGGAUGCCAAAUCUCUGUAAAGCUCCUUCGACGAGUCGAGUAGUUUGGGAAUGCUGCUCAAAAUGGGAGGUAUAUGUCUUCUAAAGCUAAAUAUUGGCCAGAGACCGAUAGCGCACAAGUAGAGUGAUCGAAAGAUGAAAAGCACUUUGAAAAGAGGGUUAAAUAGUACGUGAAAUUGUUGAAAGGGAAGCGCCUAUGACCAGACUUGGGCCCGGUGAAUCAUCCAGCGUUCUCGCUGGUGCACUUUGCCGGGCACAGGCCAGCAUCAGUUUGUCUUGGGGGAAAAAGGCUUUGGGAACGUGGCUCCUUCGGGAGUGUUAUAGACCAUUGCAUAAUACCCUGGGACGGACUGAGGUUCGCGCAUCUGCAAGGAUGCUGGCGUAAUGGUCAUCAGCGACCCGUCUUGAAACACGGACCAAGGAGUCGUCUUCGUAUGCGAGUGUUCGGGUGUAAAACCCCUACGCGUAAUGAAAGUGAACGCAGGUGAGAGCUUCGGCGCAUCAUCGACCGAUCCUGAUGUUCUCGGAUGGAUUUGAGUAAGAGCAUACGGGGCCGGACCCGAAAGAAGGUGAACUAUUCCUGUAUAGGGUGAAGCCAGAGGAAACUCUGGUGGAGGCUCGCAGCGGUUCUGACGUGCGAAUCGAUCGUCAAAUAUGGGAAUGGGGGCGAAAGACUAAUCGAACCUUCUAGUAGCUGGUUCGCGG
rnacentral:rRNA from 1 species